UAGUUAUGGAAAACUGUUUGUUUAUUUUAGAAAUGUGAGGAAUGCAAUGCAAAAAAUGAGAUUGCAACUAAAAAAUACAUUGAAUGUGGUCAUAAAGUAAAUAUUUUUUUGUUUAGUGUUACCAAAAUCAGACAUAACUGUUGGGCAUAUAUUGUCUGUAUAUGCUCAACCUGAUGACGAUGAAACAUUAUGGCUUUUAAAAGUAGUGUCUUCAACUGGGCGUAAAAUUGAAGGCAUGUGGCUGAAUAAGCUAUCAGAAUGUAGAUAUGGCAUUGGUGACCCAAGUAAGGUUGUGUGGAGAAUUUCGAAGGAUGGUAAAACAUACUUACGUUCUUCAUGCUCUGAGUGAGGCUGGUGUGCUCCAUAUAUCAGGAGAAGCUCAGCAAUUACUCAUAUCUAAUUGUAACUAAUACAGUUUAUUUUUGUCUCUAUGACAUAGAAUUGUAUACUUUUCUAUCUAUACAUAGAUUUGUAUUGCGAAUAUGCUUUGAGAAAUUUGCACAUUUUACAACACAUUGUUACAUUAUUUUACGUAAAUCCAAAUAUACAGAUCCAAAAGAGAAACUGCUGAUGUAAAUUGAAUGUAUAUUAAUGUAUAUUGAAAUACAUAUGAUGUAAAUAUAUAUGUUUUUGUUCUUUUUUUUGUUCAUUAGUGUGGAUAAAUUUUCAAAAUUGAAUAAAGGCAUGUAAAAUUUGCGCUCUGUUAAUAGAAGAAAAAUGUUACUUGUUGAGAAAAUGUCUAUAUAUACGUUCUUUCAUUAGGUCAUUAUAAAUAAAAAACAAUGUUAAAAUCGAAUGAAUAGAAGUUCAAGUAUUCUGGUGAUCGAAACUUUUAUCCAGGUACUUUUUUUAUAAUAUCUGUAUAUCUAUAUAAACGAGUUUUAAUUUCUUUGGUCACAUUUUAUACACAUUUUAAAUAUUGGCUUACACUUUGAUCGUAUAUAUUCUUUAUGUUUUUUAAUUAUGCUGUUUUACUUGUUCGCUUGUAAUCCUGAAAUUAUUGUAUAUCUUCUUAUGAUCGAUUAGCUUUUUAAGUCUCCUUCCAUUUGGAAAUUUUAAUCAUUACCUUGAUACUAUAUCUAUGUGGGAAAUGAAUACUAGAAAUAAGGGAAGUCCUGUAUUAAUAACAACAUUACCUUAAAAGUACUAUUUGUGUGUUUUUAUUAUUUUAUUAUUUAGAACUGCCAUUUAUUCACAACAUUCCUGCCGACAACAAUCCAAGACAUAUUCAGGCUAUUAACUUCGUGCGUCGACGGUGCACUGAGAUCCUAAGCGAUCUACAGAAUCAUCUUGGUAGUACAGAUGCUGUAAAGGUCAUAGCAAUAAAUAGCAGAAUAAUAUAUGAAGUGAAAUGUCCAUUCAAUAGAUGUCAAUAUAUAGGAGGUAAAGUUGACCGUCAUAUGAAAGCUGUGCACUAGGUUUCAGACAAGUUGGCUGGACUUUUCAAAUUAAGACAAGUUAGACUGCUUAAUUAUUACACGAAGAUUUAUCAUAUUGGUCAAGUCAAACCUCUUCCUUGUAAAGCUUGUAACAGAUACUUCGACAGAUUUAUGACACACGUCAAAAACACACUACAGAAAACAGUAAAAGAGUUUUGUCGAUUUCCCGCCGUUUCGAUAAGGCUUUAAAGAAGAAAUAUGAUAGUUUUUAGGGUUUUA